rnacentral:ncRNA from 2 species
CUUAACAAAGGGAAUGAAGUGCGCCCUUGGGAAACCAAAACCGCUUAUUAGCUGAUGACUUCUGCGAUAUU